AUUGAACGCUGGCGGCAUGCCUAACACAUGCAAGUCGAGCGAGCGGCGGACGGGUGAGUAAUGUAUUGGGACUGCCUGAUAGAGGGGGAUAACGACUGUAACCGGUGGUUAAUACCGCAUACUAUCGGAUAACCCAUAUGGGAUUAGCUAGUAGGUGGGGUAACGGCUCACCUAGGCCACGAUCUCUAGCUGGUCUGAGAGGAUGAUCAGCCACACUGGGACUGAGACACGGCCCAGACUCCUACGGAGGCAGCAGUGGGUAAUAUUGCACAAUGGGCGCAAGCCUGAUGCAGCCAGGCCGCGUGUAUGAAGAAGGCCUUAGGGUUGUAAAGUACUUUCAGCGGGGAGGCGUUACCCGCAGAAGAAGCACCGGCUAACUCCGUGCCAGCCGCCGCGGUAAUUC
rnacentral:rRNA from 1 species